GGGGAAGGAGGUUCUACUUCGCGCAAGUGGAACAUCAAACUCAAAUGAAGUUCAGACGCGCACGAAUGGUGUAAUGACUGGAGAACUGUCUCGGGGACCUGCUCGGUGAAAAUACAAUACCGGUGAAGAUGCCGGUUACCUGCAGUUAGACGAAAAGACCCCGGGAGCUUUACUGCAACUUGAUAUUGAGUUUACGGUCACGAUGCGUAGCAUAGAUGGGAGACUUUGAAGCGCGAUUCUCGGAUUGCGUGGAGUCGUCAGUGAAAUACCAUUCUUCUAGAUUGUAAAUUCUAACCUCGACGGAAAAAACGGCGAGAGACAGUAUCUGGCGGGCAGUUUUAGUGGGGCGCUAUCCUCCUAAAAAGUAACGGAGGAGUCUAAAGGUUGGCUAGGCGCGAAUGGAAACCGUGCCGAUAGUGUAAUGGCAUAAGCCAGCUUAACUGUGAGGCGUACAUGCCAAACAGAUGCGAAAGCAGAGCAUAGUGAACCGACCGUACACGUUAGAUGUGGCGGAAGAUUAUCGGAUAAAAGCUACCCCGGGGAUAACAGGCUGGUUGCGCCUAAGCGUCCAUAGCGACGGCGCAGUUCGGCACCUCGAUAAACAUAACCGAUGUCGAGGAGAGAGGAUACGAACAAUUCUCUCAUGUGUGUGAUAUAAAAAUCAUGCACAC
rnacentral:rRNA from 1 species